rnacentral:rRNA from 1 species
AGAGUUUGAUCCUGGCUCAGAACGAACGCUGGCGGCAGGCUUAACACAUGCAAGUCGAACGAGUAAGAGCCGUAGCAAUACGGAGUUCUGCUAGUGGCGCACGGGUGAGUAACGCGUGGGAAUAUGCCCUUUAGUACGGAAUAACAGUUGGAAACGACUGCUAAUACCGUAUACGCCCUUCGGGGGAAAGAUUUAUCGCUAAAGGAUUAGCCCGCGUGAGAUUAGGUAGUUGGUGGGGUAAUGGCCUACCAAGCCUACGAUCUCUAGCCGGUCUGAGAGGACGAUCGGCCACACUGGAACUGAGACACGGUCCAGACUCCUACGGGAGGCAGCAGUGGGGAAUAUUGGACAAUGGGCGAAAGCCUGAUCCAGCCAUGCCGCGUGAGUGAUGAAGGCCUUAGGGUUGUAAAGCUCUUUUGUCAGGGAAGAUAUUGACGGUACCUGAAGAAUAAGCACCGGCUAACUUCGUGCCAGCAGCCGCGGUAAUACGAAGGGUGCUAGCGUUGUUCGGAAUUACUGGGCGUAAAGCGCGCGCAGGCGGUCUAUCAAGUCAGAGGUGAAAUGCCGAAGCUCAACUUCGGAACUGCCUUUGAAACUGUUAGACUAGAAUAUGGGAGGGGAUAGCGGAAUUCCUAAUGUAGAGGUGAAAUUCGUAGAUAUUAGGAGGAACACCGGUGGCGAAGGCGGCUAUCCGGCCCAUUAAUGACGCUGAGGCGCGAAAGCGUGGGGAUCAAACAGGAUUAGAUACCCUGGUAGUCCACGCUGUAAACGAUGAGUGCUAGCUGUUGGGACCUUAGGUCUCAGUGGCGCAGCUAACGCAUUAAGCACUCCGCCUGGGGAGUACGGUCGCAAGAUUAAAACUCAAAGGAAUUGACGGGGACCCGCACAAGCGGUGGAGCAUGUGGUUUAAUUCGAGGCAACGCGAAGAACCUUACCAGGACUUGACAUGUCCAGUUUGGAUUUCAGAAAUGAUUUCCUUCAGUUUGGCUGGCUGGAACACAGGUGCUGCAUGGCUGUCGUCAGCUCGUGUCGUGAGAUGUUGGGUUAAGUCCCGCAACGAGCGCAACCCUCAUCUUUAGUUGCUACCAUUUAGUUGAGCACUCUAAAGAAACUGCCGGUGAUAAGCCGGAGGAAGGUGGGGAUGACGUCAAGUCUUCAUGGCCCUUAUGUCCUGGGCUACACACGUGCUACAAUGGCAGUGACAAUGCGCCGCUACCUCGCGAGGGGAAGCUAAUCGC